UCAAUAAGCGGAGGAAAAGAAACCAACAGGGAUUGCCCCAGUAACGGCGAGUGAAGCGGCAAGAGCUCAAAUUUGAAAGCUGGCUCCUUCGGGGUCCGCAUUGUAAUUUGUAGAGGAUGCUUCGGGAGCGGUCCCCAUCUAAGUGCCCUGGAACGGGACGUCAUAGAGGGUGAGAAUCCCGUAUGGGAUGGGGUGUCCGCGCCCGUGUGAAGCUCCUUCGACGAGUCGAGUUGUUUGGGAAUGCAGCUCUAAAUGGGUGGUAAAUUUCAUCUAAAGCUAAAUAUUGGCCGGAGACCGAUAGCGCACAAGUAGAGUGAUCGAAAGAUGAAAAGCACUUUGAAAAGAGAGUUAAAAAGCACGUGAAAUUGUUGAAAGGGAAGCGCUUGCGACCAGACUCGCUCGCGGGGUUCAGCCGGCAUUCGUGCCGGUGUACUUCCCCGCGGGCGGGCCAGCGUCGGUUUGGGCGGUCGGUCAAAGGCCCUCGGAAGGUAACGCCCCUAGGGGCGUCUUAUAGCCGAGGGUGCAAUGCGACCUGCCUAGACCGAGGAACGCGCUUCGGCUCGGACGCUGGCAUAAUGGUCGUAAACGACCCGU
rnacentral:rRNA from 1 species